UUAACUUCAAAUCUAUUCAUCUUCUUAGAUCUUAUCUAAACUUCUAUCCUAUGAGAACAACCCAAAAUCUCUUAUAUAAGAAAAAGCCAAGCAAGCUCUUCUGCAACGUACUCUGAAGCAUGAAUUUUUUUUUGGUUGAUUAUCUCUCUCACUGUUGCAGAAAAGCUUGCUUGAUUUUUCUUGUAUAAGAGAUAUUUGGGUUGUUUUAAUAGGAUAGAAGUUUAGAUAAAAUCUAAGAAGAAUAAAUUUAAAGUUAAUGUGGAAAAGAAAAUGUUUAUGUAACUUCAAAUCUAUUCAUCUACUUAGAUCUAAUCUAAACUCCAAAUCCUAUUAGAACAACACCAAAAACCUCUGAUAUAAGAAAAGGCCAAGCAAGCUCUUCUCCAAUAGUGAGAGAUGAUCAACUAAAACAAAUUCAUGCUUUCUGAGUUUAUUGUAGAUUUACGAUUUUCUUUUCAACAAAUGGGAUUGAGUUUUUCAGGCUCUUCACGGCUCUUGCAAUAAUGAUGAGGAAGAUGAAAGGAUGAAGUAAGGAAAGCGCUAGAUCGUAUAUGCAAUGCCAAAGAAAGAUGGACAGGGAAUAGUAAAAUAUUUGUAUGUGAAAUAGUGAAUGCAUUAGAUUUGUAUAUUUAUUAAUGUAUGAAGAUGGACAUGGAGCAGUGAAAUAUUAUUUGAACCCAUCAAUAGAUUGUCCGCUUUACACAAAUUUAUAGCGGCGUCUUUAAU